rnacentral:rRNA from 1 species
CCUCCUCUGAAAAAAGACGGUAAGCCGUUCGAAAUUCUGGUAACGAUUCCCCGUAGUUAAGCAAACUUAAACCAUAGUGGUGUCAAACGGGUCCGCUUCCAUCGGAAAAGAUUCCUCCGGAAAAAGGCUUAUGCAGGCAUUUCACGUAUGCUCCUAUAAAUUCCUGGUAGGGAUAGUCUAUUGUAACUGGUAGACUUGUCAACUAGGAAUGCCUUGUACGGGUGGGGUAGCACAUUCCACCCGGGAUACGUCCCUGCCUUUUGUACACACCGCCCGUCGCUCUUACCAAUUGAACAGCACUACGAGUUUAAAGGCCCGAGAAA